UAUUAUUGCUAGCCCACAUGUCACUAGCUGCUGAAUGACACCGUGCACCGCAUUUCAUGGAAAUAAAAGGAGAGCUCCUUUGUUGUAAAUUCAUGCAUACGCUCUUGGGAAAUUAGGGCACACAACAGAUGUAAAUCAGCUUUUAAUCCAGGUCCCAGUGUGGACAGUACAGAAGAGAGCAGUGGUGGGAGUCAGGAGAAAAGAGAAUCCUAACUCGUGCCAAAGAAGAGAAAAGAAUAUCCUGUUUGUUUUGUUUUUUUUUUUUUUUUAAAUCAGGUUGGAUCACUUAUAUGUACACUCAGAUACUAGUUUCUCUCUAUAUUGUUGAAUGCUCUCUUUCUUUCUUAAUUACUGGAGUUAAAGUGAAGCUUGACCCUAGUUAGAGAAAUCUCCAGCAGGACCUUCCUGGUCUGAAACACUAGGACCUCGUUUCAUAGAGGGGCCUCCAAUAGGCACGGGAUUCCUGCAGGGCAAGACACUUGGAAGGCUGCAGAAGAACUGCUCUUAGAGUCCCCCAGGAGCCCCUCAGGGCACAGUGCAUCCAGAGGUACCCAGUUCCCAGCAGGCUAGGGAUUCUUUGGGACUGGGUGGUGAGGCUUGCACCCUUUUCCUGAGCACCUCAUGUGCAUGCUCAGUCAUGUCCAACUCUUUGUGACCCCAUGGACUGUAGCCCACCAGGCUCCUCUGUCCACGGAAUUUUCCCGGCAAGAAUACUGGAGUGGCUUCCCAUUUCUUUCUCCAGGGGAUCUUCUUGACUCAGGGAUAGAACCCAUGUCUCCUACAUUGGCUGGUGGACUCUUUACCACUGUGCCACCUGGGAACCCUCCUGUGUACCUUGGGGAUCCUCUAUUCCCCUUCUCAAGCUGCCUCUGCACAAGUUUGUUUCCGCAUGAGCCGCUCACGGGCCAGCGGUGGGCAUCAGCUUUGGACUGGAAGAAUCUUUUAGACUGAAUCUGAUAUCAAAAACAACAACCCUUUUCCAUUGCUCCAGUGAAAGAAGUUGCAAUGCCUUCUGUGAAACAAUAUUAAACUUCCCUUCUUUAAAGGCAGCUGCUCAGGGUUUGACUGUUUAACCAUUUCACUGCCUCUUUUGUGCAGACGACUAGUUCUCAGAUUUCAGCUUGCACAUGAGUCACCUAGGAAACUGGCUAAAAAUGAAGAUUCUUAGCUAAUACCCCAGAACUUCUGCUUUAGUAAGUCUGCGAAAGAAACAUAGAAUCUGUGUGCUCCUAGUUUCCCCAGAUCGGAGAAGGCAAUGGCACCCCACUCCAGUACUCUUGCCUGGAGGGUCCCAUGGGCAGAAGAGCCUAGUAGGCUGCAGUCCAUGGGGUCGAGAAGAGUUGGAUACGACUGAGCAACUUCACUUUCACUUUUCACUUUCAUGCAUUGGAGAAGGAAAUGGAAACCCACUCCAGUGUUCUUGCCUGGAGAAUCCCAGGGACGGGGGAGCCUGGUGGGCUGCCGUCUGUGGGGUCGCACAGAGUCGGACAUGACUGAAGCGACUUAGCAGCAGCAGUUUCCCCAGAUAAUUCUAAUGCAAUUGGUCCAAGGACCACAGUUUGAGAAACAGCACACUGGGUUUAUUGCCAAUAGUGCCAGCGCUUUCAAAGCCACCUAUGCCACCUUGUUUCGCUGAUGCUGCUCAGAGCGCCGACUGUGUCUCUGUUUCUCACUGUGCGCACUCUUUGUUGAACCCAGGGUAAGAGAGGAGUGAGUUAAAAGGCUGGAAGAAGAUGCAAGGAGCAGUAGGAACUGCAGACACAUUUAUUCUCUCCUGUCUGGCAUAGCAGCCGUAGCAGCAGCCAUAACAUCACAUAACGUAGCCCCCAGGGCUUUCCAGGUGGAGC
ensembl:lncRNA